rnacentral:lncRNA from 1 species
CUCCUCGCCGGAGUUGGUUGGGAAAGUGUUCCGGUGCACCGUUUAACAAAUAAAGAGCAUGGGGACGAAGCGGAGCUUCAAGCGGACUCACCUAGCACAAAGACGAGGACGAGGAAGACCCGAGGGCAACGCGGUGCUUAGAAUGGCGGCCGGUCACGCUCCUGCGAGGUUCGGUCAGUGCGUGAGGUCGAAAGAACGCGGUACAGGGUA